rnacentral:rRNA from 1 species
UACGUAGGGGGCAAGCGUUGUCCGGAAUCAUUGGGCGUAAAGAGCGUGUAGGCGGUCCGGUAAGUCCGCUGUGAAAGUCAAAGGCUCAACCUUUGAAUGUCAGCGGAUACUGCCGGGCUAGAGUCCGGAAGAGGCGAGUGGAACUCCUGGUGUAGCGGUGGAAUGCGCAGAUAUCAGGAAGAACACCAACGGCGAAGGCAGCUCGCUGGGACGGAACUGACGCUAAGGCGCGAAAGCGUGGGGAGCGAACAGG